UUACGGCCACAUCACGUUGAAACAUCAGUUCCCGUAUGAUCACCGAAGUUAAGCAGGGUCGAGCUCGGUCACUACAUAGAUGGGUGACCAGUUGGGAAUAUUAGGUUUUGU